rnacentral:rRNA from 1 species
AUUGAACGCUGGCGGCAGGCCUAACACAUGCACGUCGAACGAGUGGCGGACGGGUGAGUAAUGUCUGGGAAACUGCCUGAUGGAGGGGGAUAACUACUGGAAACGGUAGCUCAUACCGCAUACCAUCAAAUGUGCCCAGAUGGGAUUAGCUAGUGGGUGGGGUAACGGCGGACCAAGGCGACGAUCCCUAGCUGGUCUGAGCGGAUGACCAGCCACACUGGAACUGAGACACGGUCCAGACUACUACGGGAGGCAGCAGUGGGGAAUAGUGCACAAUGGGCGGAAGCCUGAUGCAGCCAUGCCGCGGGUAUGAAGAAGGCCUGCGGGUUGUAAAGUACUUUCAGCGGGGAGGCGUUACCCGCAGAAGAAGCACCGGCUAACUCCGGGCCAGCAGCCGCGGUAAUAC